ACUAUAUCACAUUGAAGCAAAUGUUCUCAUAUGAUCACUGAACUUAAGCAACAUCAAGCCUGGCCAGUACUUAGAUGGGUGACUGCUUGGGAAUACUAGAUGCU